AAACUCGAAUGAAUGUUUUGGC
rnacentral:miRNA from 1 species